rnacentral:rRNA from 1 species
GACGAGUACCUCAAGCGUUAUCCGGAUUUAUUGGGCGUAAAGGGUCCGUAGGGGGUUUUAAUAGUGAGUAGUCAAAUCUAAAAGCUUAACUUUUGGUUCGCUAUUCAAACGUUAAGACUUGAGAGCAUUAGAGGCUAGCGGAACUCACGGUGUAGCAGUGAAAUGCGUUGAUAUCGUGGGGAACACCAAAGGCGAAGGCAGCUAGCUGGAAUGUUUCUGACCCUGAGGGACGAAAGCGUGGGUAGCGAACGGG